GCAAGCUCAGUACAAAAUGAUGUUAUGCAGUUAAACGGAGCCAUGGAGGCAUCACUAGAUUGUAAGUCCCCCCUAAUUGGUACUUUUGGUCAAAAGGGCUAUCAUAAACGCUGCUUGUUAUUUCCUCAUGAGUUAUCCAGAAAAUCUCUUACAAUGAGAUUAUCUUGUUCGUGAUUAGGUCCCACUACUUGAAGCUGUAGAUAAAUCUUGAAAUAAAGAUAUGGACAUGACAUCUACUACUGAAAGUAGAUGGAAUAACAUCCUUAUAGCCAAAAGUCCAACUGAUUGCUAUCUCUCCCAGCGGCGACACCUGCAGAGCAAUAGAUGGUCAAGCCAUAGAUAACCCAACAACAAUCCAAUCCCAUAAAAGGGGGACUUUUAAUUCUAGUUCAUAGAAAAUUAGUUCCUAGAAAUUUUUAGUAAUUAUAAUUUUUAGAUAUUUUUUUAGUAAUUCUAUACCAUUUUUAUAUGUAGUUACAGUCUGUGUAGCUUAAUUCUUUUAUUUGACUAUGUAUAGAUAUGUAUGGAAAGGACUACGCCGCAGCCUCUUCUUCGCGGAUUCUCAACACUAGUGAUGAAGCCGUAGAACCAUCGUCACGUCAUGACGGUCACAACACCUUGGGCACAUACAAGGAUGGGCAGGACAACUGCACAUCCACUGGUCAUGAUGAGUCCGGCACCGCCACAAAUCCUGAAGCCGCGGCCGAUCGCGACGAAGGGACCGACCAAGGGGACCAGGCAGCUGGACAACACAAAAGGCAACGCAAGCCUAGGCGCCGAAACAUGCUCGGCACCGAUAGGAUUGUUAUCAACCGAGUGUCUGAGGCGGGUCUACCUGUUAGUCCCAAGAAGGCCAAACAAGGUUACAGGAAUGCACUAGGCUGCAUCCUUCGCGAAACCGUGAGCAUUAAUGAAACCAAUCUCAGGUCGAAAGCGAACGGGAAUUUGCGAGCGCUCCUCAUAUCGAAGCUGCACACUCAUUACAAGUUCCCGGAUGUAUCCCUCAACGAGACCACUCUGGUAAACAACAGAGCCCUCUGCAAGUGGUCCAAGCUUUUGAGUAGUUGGAAAUCCAAGGCCAAAAACGAAUACCUUAAGAAAGAUUAUGAAACUGAGAUAAAAAAGAUGUGGCCUUCGGUUUCCGAGGAGGACUGGAACCUGUUCAAGCAGCACUGCGAGACCCCUGAAGUCAAGGAGAUGGAAAAAUGGGGAAAGGAUAUGCGGGCUAAGAACAUUGGUAACCACACCCUUGGAAGCCGUGGUUACCCAGGAAAGAAGCCGAAGUGGGACAAGCAGGACACUGAAUUCACUGCAGCAGGCGACUAUCCUGUCAUGGUGUUGGAGACGAGGAGUAGGAGGGCACACGCAUCGGAGACCGCGUUGCCGUCGCCGCAGCGCCCUCAACUCACGCACGCUGGAAGCAGGGGGAAUGCGCCGACCAGUGGCCGCUCCGGUAAGUACAAGACUCUCUAGUUCCACAUCGGUAGUAAUCGCCGAGUAGAUUAACUAAGACUUGUAGCUGCACAGUAAUAGGGUUACAUGGGCUGGAACAGGGGGGAGUAAUAAGGAGAUCUGUUUCUCUCCUACUUCAGCGACACUUUUUUGAUUCGUUUUUUAAGCUGGAAACCCAGUUCACGUGUAUGAUAUAUCCUUCUUGUUUUUAGACGACCCAGGUGAUUUACCAAUCUUUUCCAGAAAAUCCAGUCUCUUACAGUUAGAUUGUCUAGUUUGUGAUUAGGUCCCACUGCUUGAAGCUGUAGAUAGUUCUUUGAAUAAUGGUAUGAAUAACCCAAAAGCAAUCCAAUCCCAUAAAAGGGACAUUUUUAUACAUGGUUGGAACUUCUGAUGCGUAUAGUAAAGUAUCGAAGAGGUAUUGAGGAAGUUACAUAUUCUCUGGCAGUGUGGUUAGUGGUGCUUAUAGCAUCAAGGAGGGAUCAUAUGUAUGAAUAUGUAGUGGUAUUUAUAUCAUUAAGUCAAGCCCUUGUGUCAGACAGAAUUUGCUGGGCAUGUAAGGUCGACUGGUCUGUGCUUUUUGUAAGUGAUAGUGAUCCCGAGUCGGUUGAAAACGUGGACUCUAGAUUUUCUGUAAGCUGUCAAAUUUUCAUGAUAUAUAUUCAGAAGUAUAUGUUCUACUGAAAUGCCCAAUUGAUGGUGUUUCUACAGGUCAGGUUAAUGAGGAUGUCGAGAGCAGAUUCCAGCAUUUGGCAAGUUCAGUACAAAAUGAUGUUAUGCAGUUAAAGGCGACGACCAGAGAGGACGAGGGAGGCACGCACACCCAAGACGUCGUUGCCGUCGUUCCACGGAUGACGAGGAAGAGGGCAAGGGAGGCAUGCGCAUCGGAGACUGCGUUGCCAUCGUUGCAGCACACUCGACUCACGCGUAAUGGGAGCAAGGGGGAGGCGCCGACCAGUGGUUGCUCCGGUAAGUGGAAGACUGUAUUAGCACCAUAAAUCUUUUUAGUCCCACAUUGCAUUGGUAGUAGUAAACACCAAAUUGAUUACCUAGAGACCUGUAGCUGUACAGUGAUAGAGGUGUAGGCAUAAAUGUCUACGGUUACAGAGUGAAAAAACCCGAACUCACAUGUAUAUAUAUAUAUAUAUCCUUCUGAUUUUAAGAUGACCCAAGUGAUUUAACACUCUUCCAGAAAAUAUCUUACAAUUAGAUUCUCUAGUUUGUGAUUAGGUCCCACUGCUUGAAGCUCUAGACAAAUAUUUGGAUAAAGCUGUCAAAUUUUCAUGAUAUUCAGAAGUAUAUGUUCUGGUGAAAUGAAAUGCCCAAUUGAUGGUGUUUCGACAGAUCAGGUUAAUAAGGAUGUCGAGAGCAGAUUCCGGCAUUUGGCAAGUUCAGUACAAAAUGAUGUUAUGCAGUUAGAGGCAGCGACUGGAGAGGACGGGGGAGGCGCGCGCAUCCAAGACCUCGUUACCAUUGUUACACGGAUGACGAGGAGGGCGGCGAGGGAGGCAUGCGCAUCAGAGACCGCAUUGGUGUCAUUGCAACGUAUUCGACUCACACGCGGCGGAAGCAGGGGGGAGGCGCCGACCAGUGGCCGCUCCGGUAAAUGGAAGACUGUACUACCAUCGUAAAACUUUUUAGUCCCGCAUCACAUUGGUAGUAGUAAUCACUAAAUAGAUUACCUAGAGACCUGUAGCUGUACAGUGGUAGAGGUAUAGGCAUAGAUAUCUAGGGUUACAGGGUGACAAAAAACCAACUCACAUGGAGGCAUCACUGGAUCGCAAGUCCCCCCUAAUUCGUACUUUUGGUGAAAAGGGCCAUCAUAACUGGUGCUAGUUAUUUCCCCAGGAGUUAUCCAGAAGAUAUCUUACAAUGGGAUUAUCUAGUUCGUGAUUAGGUCCGACUGCUUGAAGCUAUAGAUAAAUCUUCAACUAAUGAUAUGGACAUGACAAGUCUUAGUAGCCUACUACUGAAACUAGAUGAAAUAACAUCCUUAUAGCCCAAAGCCCAACUAAUUGCUAGCUGUCCCAGCUGCGACACCUGCAAAGGAUUAUAUGGUUGGGUAAGCAAUUGAUAACCCAAGGACAAUCCAAUCCGAUAACAGGGGAAUUUUUAGUUCUAGUUCCUAGCAAAUAUUUAGUUCCUAGAAAUUUUCAGUAAUUAUGGAUUUGAUAGAUAUUUUUUUAGUAAUUCUAUAGCAUUUCUAUAUGUAGUUACAUUUUGUGCUUAAUUAUUUUAUUUAACAAUUUACAGAUAUGUCUGGAAACGACUCCGACGCAGCCUCUUCUUCACGGACGAUAAGCGCGGGCGAUGAAGCUGUAGAACCGUCACCACGUCAUGGCGAUCCCGACGCUUUGGGCACAUUCAUGGAUGGGCAGGACGACUACACAUCCACUGUUCAUGAUGAGUCAGGCACCGCCACAAAUCCUGCAGAUGCGACCGAUCGUGACGAAGGGACCGGCCAAGGGGACCAGGAAGCUGGACAACCUAAAAAGCAACGCAAACCUAGGCGCCGAAACAUGCUUGGCACCAAUAGGAUUGUUAUCAACCGAGUGUCUGAGGCGGGUCUACCUCUUAGUCCCAAGAAGGCCGAACGAGGUUACAGUAAUGGCCUAGGCUGCAUCCUUCGUGAAACCGUGAGCAUUAAUGAAACCAAUCUCAGGUCGAAAGCCAACGAGAAUCUGCGAGCACUCCUCAUAUCGAAGUUGCACACUCAUUACAAGUUCCCGGAUGAGUCCCUAGACGAGACUACUCCGGUAAAUAACAGAGCCCUCUGCAAGUGGUCCAAGGUUUUGAGUACAUGGAAAUCCAAAGCCAAAAGCGAAUACCUUGAGAAAGAUUACAUAACUGAGAUAAAAAAGAAGUGGCCUUCGGUUUCUGAGGAGGACUGGAACCUGUUCAAGCAGCACUGCAAGACCCCUGAAGUCAAGGAGAUGGAAAAAUGGGGGAAGGAUAUGCGGGCAAGGAACAUUGGCAACCACACCCUUGGAAGCCGUGGUUACCCAGGGAAGAAGCCAAAGUGGGACAAGCAGGAUGCUGAGUUUGCUGCAGCAGGCAUACCAAACCCCUUCAAGGAAUUUGAAAACCCGCGUGAAAAUGAUUACAUCAGGAGCCGGUGCAAAUAUGAUGAAGAGACUAAGACAUGGGUCUUGGACGAGAAAACGAUGAAAGUCAAGGAACUCCUGGUAAUUGAUUAACCUGCUUAUUUUUUGUUAUGCU
rnacentral:lncRNA from 1 species